UGCAUGUGUUCACACCAGUGAUCACAUUCCCCAGUCUCUGUUGUUAGGCUCUUCUCUACUGGUUCCUGUGGUUGAUCUUCCCCUGGCUUCUGUUUUAGCCAUGGAGGUCCCAUUGACUGACUGAAUGGAGGACUGCCUGCGGAGGUCUGUGGAGCAGGUGCUCUGCUGAGUGUAACGUUCGUCUCCGCAACAAAGAAUCAUGAGGAACGCCCUUCGAAAAGCCUGGUUCAGACACAGACCUAUCCAGUGCAAUGCAGCAGAGGUGAAGGAUGGAUGCUGUGGUCAAUAAAACAUCCAUAGAGGUUCGCACCAGGCAGAAAAUUUCUCCAAAGUGCCACUGGCCGGUGGUUAGCUCGAUGGCAGCAAAGGGCAUCACAAGUAGCGCAACCAGCAGGAACCAAACAACAACCCAAAACAACCUCACCUCAGAUGCCUGUCCUUGCAGAGAGCAACCAUAACCAACAGGUUGCCAAACAUUGUCAAAAUAAUGAUGAUGGAGAGGAAGAUGGUGAGAAAAACUGUCUCCAAAGAGCUCAAGAAUUCUUGCUGCUCCUGCUGCUGUUGUUCAUUAUUUAUUACGUUGCCCAAAAAACUGUGAGAGGAAUAAGAAGUGACAAAAUAAAACAUUUUAAAAUGCAGACACAUCAGCAUAAA